UGGGGUGUAGCUUAGUGGUACAGUGCAUGCUUAGUAUGCGUGAAGCCCGGGUUCAAUCCCUACACCCAAA
rnacentral:tRNA from 1 species